rnacentral:tRNA from 1 species
GGUGGUGGCUCAGUGGUAGAGUGCUUCCCUGGCAUGGGUGAGGCACUAGGUUCGAUUCUCAGCACCG